CCCAUCCCUUUGUUCGUUCUAUUUUAUAUUUUUUUUAGUGUUCUAGUUAGUUGUAUGCUCUGAACACGUUUCUUAAAUGCAUAUUAAUUACCAUUAAAUUCAUAAGUCUUAUUUAUUCCUCGUUCUCAUGCAUUUCUAAAUGGCUUGCGUCACCCUCGGGUGUCGGCCAGCACGUGACCAUCUCGAUAUCCUGAGGAUAUCGAGAUUGGGGCGUGUCACUUUGUUUGGUUGGACUUGUUGUGUAAUAUUGAUAGAGCAUUGAUAUGCCAAUCCUAUACAUAUUUACUCCUCUCAUUUAUGCCAAACCUACACAAGUACAUGUACUUGUGGUAAGGUGAGUCCGGCAAGGCACACAGUGACAUUGUAAACACAAUUAUCUUCUUUGCAUGGAUCAGAUUAUACCACAUCUUACUUGACUCUGGGGUUGUCCACAACCACACCUUAAACCUUCCUUUGAAAAGUUGGGAGUAGAGAUGGGCAACGGUUAUGGCAAGAGGGUAAUCGCGAUUAUUUACCCAUAACCGUUUAUGUUUAUACCCGCAUAACCAUUUACCCGUUGGAUAAUUACAUAAAUGGUUAUACCCAUAACCAUAACCGUUUAUAAACGGUUAUCCAUACCCAUAACCGUGUACUCAUUUACCCAUAACCAUUUACCUAUUUAACUCACCCCAUUCUUCUUCAUCUUUUCUAAAAGAAAACCUAGCUACUCAAUUUCUCUCAACCCUAGCCGUCCCUUGUCCAAUUUCUCUCAACCACGGCCUCCAUUUUAGGGUUGAGAGUCCAUAACCAUUUACCUAUUUAACUCACCCCAUUCUUCUUCAUCUUUUCUAAAAGAAAACCUAGCUACUCAAUUUCUCUCAACCCUAGCCGUCCCUCGUCCAAUUUCUCUCAACCACGGCCUCCAUUUUAGGGUUGAGAGGGAGAGACUCGUCGGGAUUUCGGGAGGGACGUGCGGGUGGGUGUCCUGUGGCUGAAGCAUCGGUCAGAGGGUUGUUGGGGGGAGGGGAGGAGGGGGACAGAGGGACUGACGGAUUGGAGAGAGAUGGGAGCUAUGGGUUUGGAUUGAGUGAGAGAGAGAUUUAGGUAGGUUAGGGCCUAUGCGAUUUUCUUCGAUUUUAGAGAGAGAGAUGGAAAGGGAGAUAGAAGAUAGGGAGGGAGAGGAGAAAGCAUGGUUGUGUGCAUUUUUUGGGAUUAAUUAAUGGGUUAGUACACAGGGUCAGUGAGGAGAGAAUGACAGAGGGAUGUAUGGGAGGGUAUGGGUUUUCAGUUUUUUUUCCACUGAUUCAACAGCUUUUGUAAAAUUGAAGUGGGAGUUUGACGGAUGUUGAUCAAGCCCCCAGUUUAUUAACGACGAGAACAACACUGACCCAAAAUUCGAAGAAAAAUUUAAACACAGAAAAGCGUAGGAUCCUGGAUUUGAAAGUGUUUUGCUCCUCCUCUUUGGUGCAUUUCUCUUUCAAGAUCUCCUGUGUCAAAGAUCGGAAUGGGUACAAUCUGAGCACUCCUAAAACUGAAAAGUUCUCCAAAGAUUGUGUGAAUGGAUGUGUCAGAUAUGGUUUAUCGUCCAUGCAAGGAUGGCGUACCACAAUGGAGGAUGCUGCACAAGUUUUCUACUGAAAGGAUUUUUGGAAUGGAAGGGGUAGGAAAGAAUACAUCACCAAUGAUUGAUUUAGUGCAGUUUGUGUGUCGGCUUCCCUGUGUAAUUGUGUUUCGGCACAUUACAGCUCCGAUACUAGCCGAUGAAGAAGAUAAAAUUUCAGUUCUUGCAUUAAUGGACCUAAUGGCCCCGAACUGUGAUAUUUCUGUACUGGACGGGCUAAAGUAUGUGUCGAGAUUUGGAAUUCCUUUAAAGAAGUAUUGGAAAACCUGAUGAAAUGCACCAAACAUCCCACAGUGAACUUUCCACAAGCAGUUAUAGCGGUUGCAAAGUUACACGAUCAAACUGUACUGUUUUGGAGAAAUCAACUCAACCUCCCAUACCCUGAAAAAAAGAGAAAGAAAAACAGAUAGAAAAGAGACGUGCUGAACUCCUUCAUUUUAGGAGAAAGAAAAACCCGUGGCGGAAGAUGUUCAGUAACUCCUCCAUAAGGCCAAAUCCUCCCUGACCCCAUUUAUCCCCCCAGUUGCACAUCACUAUGUUGUAGUGUUUGACUUUCCUGUCUUCAUUUAACUCCUCACCCUCUCCACUGUCUUCCUCAGCGUCUUCAUCGCUUUCCUCGCAGUCUUCGCUGAUUUCAUUAGAUUUGCCUUCAAUAAUGCUUUCUUCGGUUUCUCCACCAUCACUAUAUCCCCAUCCUACUAAUACCAUUGCAUGCAAUUCUAAGUUCCCACCUUGGCGAUUCAUUUCAUAGGUAUAAAUUCCUUGUAAAAAAGAUACAAGUCAAUAUUUAAUCAACAAACAUAACUUACACAACAAUUUACUACUUACAUCUUUGUGAUCAUACACAGCGUCACUCAAGGAAGCAUCGCAAAUAAGGGGAAACUGUCGGAGCAUAAAUUCAAUGGUGGCCGUAUGGUUGCCAAUACUUUUGUAAUUGGCAAUCCUAUACUUGUAAAGCUUUUCCUACAUAAUAAUACUAGUCUCUCAACACGCACUCACACGCGUGUGAGAAGUCUUUUUUUUUUUAGGAGUAGGAUUCUCUCGCCUUCUAUUUUCAUCUGCAAUUGAGUAGGUGUAGAUGUGAAAGGAGGGGAGUGAAGGGGAUGAGAAUAGGAGGGGAGAUAAUCCUACCCCUUAAAAAAAGGCUUCUCUCAUGCGCGUGAGCGCAUGCGGAGAGGCUAGUAUUAUUAUGUAGGAAAAACUUUACAAGUAUAUGACUGCUGAUUACAAAAGUAUUGGCAACCAUACGUUCACCAUUGAAUUUAUGCUCAGACAGUUUCCCCUUAUUUGCGAUGCUUCCUUGAGUGACGCUGUGUAUGAUUACAAAGAUGUAAGUAGUAAAUUGUUAUGUAAGUUGUGUUUGUUGAGUAAAUAUUGACUUAUAUUUUUUUUACAAGGAAUUUAUACCUAUGAAAUGAAUCGCCAAGGUGGGAACUUAGAAUUGCAUGCAAUGGUAUUAGUAGGAUGGGGAUAUAGUGAUGGUGGAGAAACCGAAGAAAGCAUUAUUGGAAGCAAAUCUAAUGAAACUAGCAAAGACCUCGAGGAAAGCAAUGAAGAAGCUGAGGAAGACAGUGGAGAGGGUGAGGAGUUAAAUGAAGACAGGAAAGUCAAACACUACUACAUAGUGAUGUGCAACUGGGGGAAUAAAUGGGGUCAGGGAGGAUUUGGCCUUAUGGAGGAGUUACUGAACAUCUUCCGCCACGGGUUUCUCUUUCUCCUAAAAUGAAGGAGUUCAGCACGUCUCUUUUCUAUCUUUUUCUUUUUUUUUCAGAGUAUGAGAGGUUGAGUUGGUUUCUCCAAAACAAUACGGUUUGAUCGUGUAACUUUGCAACUGCUAUAACUGCUUGUGGAAAGUUCACUGUGUAUAGAUAUGAGUAACCAACGGGUUAGAAUCAAUCUAAAAGUCCGGGCGCCUUUCAUGUUUUUGUAUUACAAUUUUAACCCUAUUUUAUUUGUGUAUUACAAUUAUAGUCCUUCUAUAUAGGAAUGGUUUUGUGUGUUUUUUUUUUAAUGAAAUGAGGACAUAAUUGGAAUAUUGAAAACUUCACCGAUUUGGGCUACUCCAUAUAUAUAGAUUUUGAUCCAUAAUAAUGUAUAUAUUAACAUAAUAAGACUAACCUGUGAGAUGUUUGGUGCAUUUUGUCAGGUUUUCCAAUACUUCUUUAAAGGAAUUCCAAAUCUCGACACAUAUUUUAGCCCGUCCAGUACAGAAAUAUCACAGUCCGGGGCCAUUAGGUCCAUUAAUGCAAGAACUGAAAUUUUGUCUUCUUCAUCGGCUAGCAUCGGAGCUGUAAUGUGCCGAAACACAAUUACACAGGGAGGCCGACACACAAAUUGCUGAUGAAAUAAACAAAAAGGAUAAAAUCAUUUGCAAACAAAUGAAAUUAAAGUGACAUCACAACAUACUGCAUAUCUACUAACAAUGCCAAACAAAAUGUACUCGUAUAUUAGCUCUUGUGUUUAUAUGGUUCUGAGCCUUCUAGUUAAUUAACAUUAAUUUUUGGUUCCAAUUGAAAAGCGAUUAAAUGAUUAUUUAUCUUAUAGUUGUUUGA